rnacentral:lncRNA from 1 species
AGUCAAGUUUUAUAUAAAACAUUCCAUAGGUGGAACAGUAUAGGAAGCAUAAGCUACAGGUAAAAAACAGGGGUUUCUUCAAUAGCACAGAUGAAAUCAGUGACAUAUAGUAAGCUUUAUCACCAAAGACAGGUGGGAGGGAGACCCAGGAAAAAUUACUUUUGUCACACUUCCUUAAUUUUGUUUCUGUGUGGAAAGAAUAAGAGAUAGACAGAAUUGCCCAUGUUUAUAUUCUGAUUUUCACAAUAAAGAUGAAGGAAGUAAUAGUUUGAAGGUAACAGAGAAAACAAAUUCAACUUUAGAAGCAAUGCUCAGAAAAUAAUUGUAUAUGUUGACACAAAGCUUAUCAUACAUAUAGGUAGACAUAGAUAGAUAGAUAGAUAGAUAGAUAGAGAUAGAUAGGUAGAUAGAUAGAUAGAUAGAUAGAUAGAUAGAUAUAAAUAGAUGGGUAGAUAGAUGGAUGGUAGAUAGAUAGAUAGAUAGAUAGAUAGAUAGAUACAUGAUACAUAGAUAGAUACAUAGAUAGAUACAUAGAUAGAUACAUAGAUACAUAGAUUUCAGUCACUGGCUUGAUCUGAAUGUGGAUAAUGCCAUUAUUUAUCCUUCCUACUGCAACUUCAAAGUCUAGAAUGGAAGAGACCCUGAUUUCACAAUUCUCAGAAAGAAAAGAUACUUAAACAUGGUACUUAAAUACCUCCCAAAUCCUACUCAAAUGUUAGCAAUGAGCUAAACUUUGUAAGGGAGACAUGCAAUGGAUGUGAGUAAGGUCUAUGAUGUAUUCAUACUUAAAUAUGAAAAAUGUAUAAUUAAUAGAUAAUAUAAAGCUUGCAACAGCCCAAAGAAGGACAUGUCAGAAAAAUAAGCUUGUCCUUCUCUGGGGACUCUGGGAUAGCACAGAAAUUGGAGGCAAAAAUUUGUUGGGAAAGUGGACAAGAAAUAACUUCAAUUCUAAAUGGAAGGUUAGUCUCCCAGGUCACAACUGUGGGAAUGUUAUCUCUUAGAUUCUGACAUAAGUGGACCAGAAGAAUUCUAGACUUCAAGAUUUCAGGUGUAGUGGUGAUCUUAAAAUAUGAUCAUCAACUGGUGAUGUAGAUUUUAAAAGAAGCACAUAGAUUGUUCAGGUGCUAAGAUGUUGCCUUUUAGCAUUAUGCUCCCUAGAACGAAGCAUGUUUGCUUUCUUUCUCAGAAGUCUUGAUAUGAGGUACAAGAAACACAUAGAUUUUUUACCUUAAAGCUAGUUAAAAAAAUAAUUAAUAAACAGGCUUUAUCCAUUCAUUCCAUGACAUAAAACUAUAAAUCCCAUAAAGCCAUGUUUUACUCUAUGAAUCAGACUGUGAAAUCUAUUUACUGUGUCUCAUUGUAACAAACAGAUUAUUCAUAUUACUACAUAUCCCAAACUUUUUUAAAUUUUAUUUUAUUAGAUAUUUUCUUUAUUUACAUAUCAAAUACUAUCCCGAAAAUUCCCUAUACCCUCCCCCUGCCCUGCUCCUCUACCCACCCACUCCCCUUCUUGGCCCUGGCGAUCCCCUAUACUGGGGCAUAUAAAGUUUGUAAGACCUAGGGGCCUCUCUUCUCAAUGAUGGCUGACUAGGCCAUCUUUUGAUACAUAUGCAGCUAGAGACAUGAGCUCCAGGGGGUACUAGGUAGUUCAUAUUGUUGUUCCACCUAUAUGGUUGUAAACCCCUUCAGCUCCUGGGGUACUUUCUCUAGCUCCCCCAUUGGGGGCCCUGUGUUCCAUCCUAUAAGGGAUGUCUCCAUCAAAUCCCUACCCUCAGGGCUCAGGGCACCUCAUAGAAGAGGAAGUAGAAAGAGUACAUGAGCCCAAGGAGAUGAAGGACACCAAGAAAAUAAGGCUCUCUCCAUCAAUGUGACCAAAGCUCAUAUGAAGUCACAGAUACAGAGGCAACAUGCACAAGGCCUGCAGGGGUCUGCACCAGGUCCUCAGCUUAUCAUUGUGGCUUAGUGGAUCUCUAAUUCUUGUGCCUUCUCUUGGGUUCUUUUCCUUCUGUUUGUUUGUUUUGUCCGAUUUGGAGGUGUUAGUUUUCAUUUUAUCUUAUUAUAUUUAAAAGAAAAGGAAAUGAAUGAGGAAGAAUUAAAACUUACUCUGUCAAGGUGUCCAAGUGAAAUUAUUGAUCGAAUGAUAUGUGCAAUGAAAGGCAGGGACACACAGACAGAAUAAUACCAUCACUGCUUACGUCAUUACUACCAUAACAUUCAAAGUAUUGAAUGCUCAGGAUAAAGAAAAAUACUCCUAAUGGAAGUACUUCUAUAGAAAUU